rnacentral:rRNA from 1 species
UUUUCUGCCACCGAAUACAUUAGCAUGGGAUAAUGGAAUAGGACCCUGUCCUCCUAUUUUCAGUUGGUUUUGGCAGCGCGAGGACUAGGGUAAUGAUUAAUAGGGAUAGUUGGGGGCAUUAAUAUUUAAUUGUCAGAGGUGAAAUUCUUGUAUUUAUGAAAGACUAUGUUCUGCGAUAGCAUCUGACUCGGAUGUUUUCAUUACUCAAAAUUUAACCUCUGGGGAUUGAAUAUUAUCGCACACAGUCAUCCUCUUUAAUCUUUACGCUACCUCCCC